rnacentral:rRNA from 1 species
UACGAAGGGGGCUAGCGUUGCUCGGAAUCACUGGGCGUAAAGGGUGCGUAGGCGGGUCUUUAAGUCAGGGGUGAAAUCCUGGAGCUCAACUCCAGAACUGCCUUUGAUACUGAAGAUCUUGAGUUCGGGAGAGGUGAGUGGAACUGCGAGUGUAGAGGUGAAAUUCGUAGAUAUUCGCAAGAACACCAGUGGCGAAGGCGGCUCACUGGCCCGAUACUGACGCUGAGGCACGAAAGCGUGGGGAGCGAACGAGGAUUGAUA